UUCUGUCUCCUGGUUUAGAUCAGCCUGUAGUUUCUGCGUGAUCUUUAGAAAGGAAAUGAUCAUAUUUAGACCAGCUGUCAUGACCCUAGAGGAAAUGAGUUUUCCAGUGAUACCAAAUGUUAUUUCUUUUUGUAUCACAACGGACUCCUUGAAUCUGUUUAAAUAUGAAUCAAAUCUGGGUUAAUCAUAUCUGUUAAUUUGAAUUGUAGGAGAAAACUGGUUAAUUUAGAUUUUUUCCCCGCUAUUUUCGUCUCCCUUGUUUAAAAUCUCGUCCUGUCACAUGUCACAGGCAGUGACCUGGCAAUGUAUUAUAGUACUUCGACAUGUCAGUGUCUUAUAAUGAUUCAUGAGCCUGUGUGUUCUUAUCCUAUGAGAAGAUGCUGUCUCUUAAUUAUUCAUGACAGCACAUGAUGUUUUCCUACAGAUGUAGUAGAUGAGAGAGGCGUUCAAAUGGGUCGCAGGUGUUUGUUUCAGUGGUGUAAGAGUUUGAGUGUGUUUUCUCAGGAGAGCAAUGAGAAUUGGAGAAAGGUGGACUUCGGACUUGCUCAUGAAGUUUGCGUUUGCAUCUACACAAUGAUGCGGUACUAAGUCCAGAGGACUUUUCCAUCCCUUCAAAUGAGAGCCCUAGUCCUAGCUGAAAAGAAGCAGCCCCAUAGCAUGAUGCUGCCACCACUAUGCUUCAUGGUGGAGUUGGAUGUUUGAAGGACAUCGUGAUCUUGUUAAUGUGUCUGUGGUGCCACAUAUUCUACACUUGAUGAUGGCCUUCACAGUGUUCCAUGGUACAUCUAAUGUUUUGGAAAUUCUCUCCUGAUCAGUGCCUUUCAAAAAUAAGGUCCCCAACAUGCUUUGAGGGCCAUGGCUUCAGCAAUCAGAUGAAACCAAUAUGAUGUCAAGAACAUCCUACAAAAACAGCUGAUCUUUAUUUGGGGUUAAUCAGAAUCACUUCACUGAUGACAGGUGUAUGAGAAUUACAUUUCAACUACAUUUUUUAUUGUUUCAUUCUGAGAAUACUCCAUUAGAAAAGGGUGUGCACCUUACAUAACAAAGUUAUGAGUUUGUAUUUGUGUUUUUCUCCUUUAAACAUUUCUAUUUGCUUUCACAUGAAUUUUGUUGGUUGCUAUAUCACAUUAAAGGUGAAAAAACAUCUGA